AUUUAUGUAUUGACACCAGAGAAAGCCGGAAGACAUUGAACCCUUUGAAUGUGUUAAAGAAAGAUCUUAUUUAUAUCUUGCUGAACGUACACUUUUAAUGGAUGUUUAAGAAAUAAAAGAUAAAAGUUUACAAGAAAAUGGACUUUACACUGUUAAACGUAAUUUGGCUCCUAGUGCAUUUGAGUAUACGUAUGGCACUCUACCAUGUUGACCAAUCUGUAUUACGUCAAGCCUGUGAUAAGAAAGUAAAGAAGAAGAAACUAAAGCACAUUCGACAUCAUAGGUUCCCUAGAAAAUACGUGUAUAUAACAACAAGAGUUAAUAGGAUUGCACGACCGAGAAUCAAAGAAUAUAUUUACAAAUUAUGUAAAUAUACAGAAAACAGACGUGUACAAAACUGCUAUUGUUUUGCUAUUCCAUUUACUUCUGACUCACGCGAGAACUCCUGGCGACCGGUAAUUAGGCUAGGAACAACUCAAUUAGAUAACUCCACACCAAUUGUAAGAAGUGAAUCUCAAGAAAACAGAGAGCAACACAUCGAAGAUCUGUUACGCAUAAGUAACAUAACUGGUCAAGGGCAUCAGUCUGAAUACCCAAUUGGCGGUUCCCUUUACAUAGAUAACAACAGGAGAGCAGAAAACCCAGUGAUAUUUUUUAACUUACAUUAGUAUUAUCUAGCAUAUAUCUAAUGUUCACCACACGGCUCUAAUAUAUUCGAAAAAAAUCAACAUUUGAAUAUCAAGCAAAUACCUUUUAACACCUCUCCAAUAUAUUCAUGUAAUUGUAUAUUUACAGGAAAAUGAAGCAUGUGGAGGACCACUUUCGGAACAUUCUGUCCCACUUUCUGAAUCAAACGUUUCAACUAUACCAGGGUUUCCAAGUUUUCCGUCAUCGGCAUUUCCAUCGCCGAAUUCCAAUUACAUAAGUACUGAAUUAAACAACAGGUUAAUUCCAAAAAAAAUAUCUUUACAAUCACUUUGUAUCG
rnacentral:misc_RNA from 1 species